rnacentral:lncRNA from 1 species
AGGCUUUCGGAGAAGCCACCGCCCACAUGUGCUGUCUUGCUUCCUUAUUGGUGUUCAGCAGAAGGGGGCUGGUCCUCUCUGGAAAGCUGGGUGCUAUAACAGAUGAAACAUUUAUGCAAGAAAAUAAAUCCUGCCCCUUUGAUAUACUGCUUGAAACUCUUUGGACGUGAAAUUGUAAGAGUGGAAGACUGCCAGCCAACGCCUCUCAGAGACAUUGUAUUUGAGUUCAGCCUUAAAGAUGAGAAACAGAAGCUGCAAGAAGUCAACAGAAGUACAUUUCAGGCCAACAAUAAUAAUUUUCAGGCAACAACUAUAAAGGAACUUUCACAGAGUGGUAAGUAUGCAAUAAAAAUAUGUGCUAAGCAAUCCAGGUUAAAACCACAAAUCAAAUAAAAUACAAUCACCACAAUUUUGCUAAUUAUCUAGAAUAUAGAUUGGAUUACCUAGAUUCUAGAUAAUUUGAACAAACUAUAUCCAAGUUUCAUUCCAAUAAUAAAACACAAACUAUUGCUGUGGACAACCCACUAACUAGGUGGGAUUUGGGGUAAGCUUUUGCUUCAGGUCUUAGUUUCCUUACUUAUAAAUUGAAAAAAACUAAAGCUGUUCUUUAAUGUUGCAGGCCCCUUGCUAUGGUUAGGAUGUGAUAUGUCCCUCAAAAUGCUCAUGGUAUGGAAGUCUUGAGGGGCUUUGGAGAAAUGAUUGUGUCAUGAGAUUCUUACUUUAAUAGAUUAG